rnacentral:rRNA from 1 species
ACAUCCAGUAGAAUUUAGCAGAGAUGCUUUAGUGCCUUCGGGAACUCUGAGACAGGUGCUGCAUGGCUGUCGUCAGCUCGUGUUGUGAAAUGUUGGGUUAAGUCCCGCAACGAGCGCAACCCUUAUCCUUUGUUGCCAGCACGUAAUGGUGGGAACUCAAAGGAGACUGCCGGUGAUAAACCGGAGGAAGGUGGGAUGACGUCAAGUCAUCAUGGCCCUUACGAGUAGGGCUACACACGUGCUACAAUGGCGCAUACAAAGAGAAGCGACCUCGCGAGAGCAAGCGGACCUCAUAAAGUGCGUCGUAGUCCGGAUUGGAGUCUGCAACUCGACUCCAUGAAGUCGGAAUCGCUAGUAAUCGUAAAUCAGAAUGUUACGGUGAAUACGUUCCCGGGCCUUGUACACACCGCCCGUCACACCAUGGGAGUGGGUUGCAAAAGAAGUAGAUAGCUUAACCUUCGGGAGGGCGUUUACCACUUUGUGAUUCAUGACUGGGGUGAAGUCGUAACAAGGUAAGCGUAGUGCU